AUGAAGGCCAUCAAUGAUGGGUUUUUCUAUGACAUACAAGUAGACAACGACAAAAUAGUUAAAAACAUUUUCUGGUCCAAUGCAAGCUGUCGAGGAGCAUAUCAAGACUUCGGCGAUUGCGUCACAUUCAACACAACUUACAAGACCAACAUAUUUCAUAUGCCUUUGGGAGUGUUUGUUGGAACAAACCAUCACUUGCAGUCAACGAUAUUUGCUGUUGCCCUGAUUAGAUACGAAGAUGCAAAGUCAUUCAAGUGGUUGUUCGAUACAUUUGUACGGUGCAUGAACAACAAACAUCCAACUUGCAUUCUAACAGGUAAGUUCAGAAAAAAAAACUCUACAAGUUUCAUCAAUUGUACAGUCUAUGGGUCUGUAUCUGCAUACACUAUUUUUUUUCUGAAAAAAAUGUUAAGCAAGCAGUUCAACCACUGUUAG
rnacentral:rRNA from 1 species